AGAGUUUGAUUCUGGCUCAGGAUGAACGCUAGCUACAGGCUUAACACAUGCAAGUCGAGGGGCAGCAUUGGGGUAGCAAUACUCAGAUGGCGACCGGCGCACGGGUGAGUAACACGUAUCCAACCUGCCGCUUACUCGGGGAUAGCCUUUCGAAAGAAAGAUUAAUACCCGAUGGUAUAAAGAGUUCGCAUGUUCUCUUUAUUAAAGAAUUUCGGUAAGCGAUGGGGAUGCGUUCCAUUAGAUAGUUGGCGGGGUAACGGCCCACCAAGUCUACGAUGGAUAGGGGUUCUGAGAGGAAGGUCCCCCACAUUGGAACUGAGACACGGUCCAAACUCCUACGGGAGGCAGCAGUGAGGAAUAUUGGUCAAUGGACGAGAGUCUGAACCAGCCAAAAGUAGCGUGAAGGAUGACUGCCCUAUGGGUUGUAAACUUCUUUUAUAAGGGAAUAAAGUGAGGGACGUGUCCCUUUUUGUAUGUACCUUAUGAAUAAGGAUCGGCUAACUCCGUGCCAGCCGCGGC
rnacentral:rRNA from 1 species